GAUGAACGCUGGCGGCGUGCUUAACACAUGCAAGUCGAACGGAAAGGCCCAAGCUUGCUUGGGUGCUCGAGUGGCGAACGGGUGAGUAACACGUGGGUGAUCUGCCCUGCACUUUGGGAUAAGCCUGGGAAACUGGGUCUAAUACCGGAUAGGACCAUCGUUUAGUGUCGGUGGUGGAAAGUUUUUCGGUGUGGGAUGAGCUCGCGGCCUAUCAGCUUGUUGGUGGGGUAAUGGCCUACCAAGGCGUCGACGGGUAGCCGGCCUGAGAGGGUGUACGGCCACAGUGGGACUGGGAUACAGCCCAGACUCCUACGGGAGGCAGCAGUGGGGAAGAUUGAACAAUGGGCGCAAGCCAGAGGCAGCGACGCCGCGUGGGGGAUGACGGCCUUCGGGUUGUAAUCUCCUUUCGCCAAGGACGAAGCGUUUUGUGACGGUACUUGGAGAAGAAGCACCGGCUAACUACGUG
rnacentral:rRNA from 1 species